UGUUUGUUUCCAUGGUGUUUCUUCUACUCUCAUCUGAUUCGACGACGUCCAAGUUAAGACCGGUGAGAUGGUUUGAAGAAUGAAAAAGACUUGGACUUCUUAAGGUUUUGUUUCAAUCAUCAACAAUUGAAAAAAUAUAAGGUCCCCUUUCAUCCGAUGGAAAAAAACUCUUCUUGAUCUCCCAUUGGAAGUUGUCCUAGAAUUGUGGACACCACCAUCAUCAACACUCAUGCAGCUAUCAGAGAUGGCUUGAAGCAUGUAGAACACACUCACACACACACACACACACAC